rnacentral:rRNA from 1 species
CCGGACCGGCGCACGGGUGAGUAACACGUAUGAAACCUGCCCGUAGCAGGGGGAUAAGCGGAAGAAAUUCCGUCUAAUACCGCGUAACAACCCAUGGAGGCAUCUCUGUGGGUUUAAAGGAAGCGAUUCCGGCUACGGAUGGUCAUGCGUCGCAUUAGCUUGUUGGCGGGGUAACGGCCCACCAAGGCGACGAUGCGUAGGGGUUCUGAGAGGAAGGUCCCCCACCACUGGUACUGAGACACGGACCAGACUCCUACGGAAGGCAGCAG